GACGAACCGUGCAAACGUUAUUCGGAAUCACUGGGCAUAAAGGGCGCGUAGGCGGCUCCAAAAGUCAGGGGUGAAAUCCGGCAGCUUAACUGUCGCAGUGCCUUUGAUACUGUGGAGCUAGAGGGAGGUAGGGGUCUGUGGAACUUCCGGUGGAGCGGUGAAAUGCGUUGAUAUCGGAAGGAACGCCGGUGGCGAAAGCGACGGACUGGAUCUCUUCUGACGCUGAGGCGCGAAAGCCAGGGGAGCGAACGGG
rnacentral:rRNA from 1 species